AAAUUUCCCAAAUCGAACCCUACCUUCCCAAAACAACACAGCCAGUUACAACACAUCUCGCCGAUCGUCGUCGCACGACCAACGGUCCCCGGUCGUCGUGAAAAGAAGGGGGCAACACUAAAAAGUUCCCCGUAUCCCUCAAUUGAAAAAAUCGAAAUUUUGAAAUCAUCCCAGGCUUUCCACCCACAGUAUUCGGUCGCGUCACUCGUUGUUGCUAAACUCGCACGAUGCACGGCAGUCGGUCGCCGUCAAACAUUCGGACACCGCAUGGAAGUUGCACGCCAACGCACGCCAGUUGCAUCUGGACGGGUCUCGAGACAGAUGCUAAAGAGCUUGUUGAUUGUUAUAGAAAAAAGGAAAAUCUAAAAAUUGAAGAAGAAAUUUCUGAAGUUUUGGGACCUCUACCAAUUGAAUGAUGUGUUACUCUGGAAGCAUUUCCUCUGCUGGUAUACAUGUAAAACAAAUGACUGACCCCCUGACUCAUGUAAAUUUUCAUAUAGUGGUGUAUGAAAGACGUUUCCAAAUUUCUUGAUUUUCCACCAUUUCAAUUAACACCUUCCCCCCCCCCCCAAUUUAGUGAUGAUAACUAAUAUGUGUUCCUGUAUUGGUCAUAUCAGUUAAAUUUAUUAAUGAAUUACUUCUGAAAAAUUGAACUAUGGGAGAAAAAAUAUGGCAAUUAAUGUUGCUGCUUAUAUUUUGUUUCUUUCAUGGAUCUAAAUAUUUGAAUUGCUUAUCACAUUAUGUUCUUUUCUUUUCCAUUUGAAAAGAUUAUGAAAUGGAACAACUGAAAUCCAUUGUAUUUGGUGGAUUUACUAUCAGUUCAUGAUUGGCAGUAAUUGAAAUUGGCUGUAUUGGUCUGCGUUGGUACAAUGCCUGGAAGGAAUCGUGGGUCAUUAAAGAAGAGAAAAGAGGCGAAUCUAGUCGUAGCUCAACUCUCCUUAACAAUGCGAUGAACGGCCCAGAGGAAGAAAUCUUACGCAUGUUCGAUUCUAUAGUUCGGAUCAGUGACAAAGAAGAGCUCCAAAUAUGGGUGAAUGUGAGCGUCCGAGUGGGAAAAUAACCUGUAGAAGUCAAUGCAAAACGGGAAACGUCUCAAUGUGUUGCAUGUGUUGUAUUCCAGUAU
rnacentral:lncRNA from 1 species